rnacentral:sRNA from 1 species
ACGAAUCAUCAUACGAUACGCAUAGUAAU